GGAUGUGAGGGUGAUCUGGCUGCGACAUCUGUCACCCCAUUGAUCGCCAGGGUUGAUUCGGCUGAUCUGGCUGGCUAGGCGGGUGUCCCCUUCCUCCCUCACAGCUCCAUGUGCGUCCCUCCCGAAGCUGCGCGCUCGGUCGAAGAGGACGACCAUCCCCGAUAGAGGAGGACCGUUCUUCAGUCAAGGGUAUACGAGUAGCUGCGCUCCCCUGCUAGAACCUCCAAACAAGUUCUCUAAAUAUUGCUUCUUUUUGUUUGAAGUUUUCAUGCUACAUCUAAAUGAAUUUCCUUAAAAAAUAUUUUGCUAUGUUGUCAGUUUACUUU
rnacentral:snRNA from 1 species